rnacentral:rRNA from 1 species
UACGUAGGGCGCAAGCGUUAUCCGGAAUUAUUGGGCGUAAAGAGCUCGUAGGCGGUUUGUCGCGUCUGCCGUGAAAGUCCGGGGCUCAACUCCGGAUCUGCGGUGGGUACGGGCAGACUAGAGUGAUGUAGGGGAGACUGGAAUUCCUGGUGUAGCGGUGAAAUGCGCAGGUAUCAGGAGGAACACCGAUGGCGAAGGCAGGUCUCUGGGCAUUACCUGACGCUGAGGAGCGAAAGUGUGGGGAGCGAACAGG